GGAAAUGUGGCUCAAGCGGUAGUGCGCUCGCCUGGCAUGUGCAGAGCACUGUGUUCGAUCCUCAGCACCA
rnacentral:tRNA from 1 species